AUUGAACGCUGGCGGCAUGCUUUACACAUGCAAGUCGAACGGUAACAGGCCGCAAGGUGCUGACGAGUGGCGAACGGGUGAGUAAUGCAUCGGAACGUGCCCAGUCGUGGGGGAUAACUACUCGAAAGAGUAGCUAAUACCGCAUACGAUCUAUGGAUGAAAGCGGGGGACCGUAAGGCCUCGCGCGAUUGGAGCGGCCGAUGUCAGAUUAGGUAGUUGGUGGGGUAAAGGCUCACCAAGCCAACGAUCUGUAGCUGGUCUGAGAGGACAACCAGCCACACUGGGACUGAGACACGGCCCAGACUCCUACGGGAGGCAGCAGUGGGGAAUUUUGGACAAUGGGCGCAAGCCUGAUCCAGCAAUGCCGCGUGCAGGAAGAAGGCCUUCAGGUUGUAAACUGCUUUUGUACGGAACGAAACGGCUCUGGUUAAUACCCGGGGCUAAUGACGGUACCGUAAGAAUAAGCACCGGCUAACUACGUG
rnacentral:rRNA from 1 species